AUUAUUAAUUCACUGCACCAUAUUAACUAGAUAAGAUUCCUAGAUAAAAUCUCAACAGCGCCACCUUCCUCUUCUAUGGAGGAUAUAGUUUACUUCCACUUUUCACUUCUACAUCUUUCUAUUGUGAAUAUGGAAGUUAUAGCUGACACUUUUUCCUCCGAAUAUGAUAAUUCUUUACCCUUUAUAAUCGAAUACUGCACUAUAUUAUACAAUAAUAGUACUGUAUUAUGGACCGGAUAUGAGCCAAUUGGACCGAUUUCACCAAUCGGGCCUCGCGCUUGAGACAAAAUGAAAUAAUGAAAAGGUUAACAAACGAA
rnacentral:lncRNA from 1 species